CUUUCGAGAAUCUGCUAAGCGAGGUCGGCCCAUCCGAACUGUAGUGGUGCGCUCCUCCACCAUGAUGAAGGGACCCACCAGGCGAAAGCUCUCCUACGGCGCCACCAUACAUUAACCCCCCUGCGCCUCUCCCGCCACCACCACCACCACCAGUAAAGACAGCGCCGUGGGAGACACCGAAGGGAGGGGCGAACGAGCGGGGAAAGUAAACCCAAGACGGAGCCAAGAGAUGCGGCGGAGGAGCAAAAGCCG
rnacentral:lncRNA from 1 species